rnacentral:rRNA from 1 species
UGCCUAAUACAUGCAAGUCGAGCGGACAGAAGGGAGCUUGCUCCCGGAUGUUAGCGGCGGACGGGUGAGUAACACGUGGGUAACCUGCCUGUAAGACUGGGAUAACUCCGGGAAACCGGAGCUAAUACCGGAUAGUUCCUUGAACCGCAUGGUUCAAGGAUGAAAGACGGUUUCGGCUGUCACUUACAGAUGGACCCGCGGCGCAUUAGCUAGUUGGUGAGGUAACGGCUCACCAAGGCGACGAUGCGUAGCCGACCUGAGAGGGUGAUCGGCCACACUGGGACUGAGACACGGCCCAGACUCCUACGGGAGGCAGCAGUAGGGAAUCUUCCGCAAUGGACGAAAGUCUGACGGAGCAACGCCGCGUGAGUGAUGAAGGUUUUCGGAUCGUAAAGCUCUGUUGUUAGGGAAGAACAAGUGCAAGAGUAACUGCUUGCACCUUGACGGUACCUAACCAGAAAGCCACGGCUA